UACACAUGCAAGUCGAACGGUGAAAGCGGAGCUUGCUCUGCUGGAUCAGUGGCGAACGGGUGAGUAACACGUGAGCAAUCUGCCCUUGACUCUGGGAUAAGCGCUGGAAACGGCGUCUAAUACCGGAUACGAGCUGCGAAGGCAUCUUCAGCAGCUGGAAAGAACUUCGGUCAAGGAUGAGCUCGCGGCCUAUCAGCUUGUUGGUGAGGUAACGGCUCACCAAGGCGUCGACGGGUAGCCGGCCUGAGAGGGUGACCGGCCACACUGGGACUGAGACACGGCCCAGACUCCUACGGGAGGCAGCAGUGGGGAAUAUUGCACAAUGGGCGCAAGCCUGAUGCAGCAACGCCGCGUGAGGGACGACGGCCUUCGGGUUGUAAACCUCUUUUAGCAGGGAAGAAGCGAAAGUGACGGUACCUGCAGAAAAAGCACCGGCUAACUACGUGCCAGCAGCCGCGGUAAUACGUAGGGUGCAAGCGUUAUCCGGAAUUAUUGGGCGUAAAGAGCUCGUAGGCGGUUUGUCACGUCUGCUGUGAAAACUGGAGGCUCAACCUCCAGCCUGCAGUGGGUACGGGCAGACUAGAGUGCGGUAGGGGAGAUUGGAAUUCCUGGUGUAGCGGUGGAAUGCGCAGAUAUCAGGAGGAACACCGAUGGCGAAGGCAGAUCUCUGGGCCGUAACUGACGCUGAGGAGCGAAAGGGUGGGGAGCAAACAGGCUUAGAUACCCUGGUAGUCCACCCCGUAAACGUUGGGAACUAGUUGUGGGGUCCAUUCCACGGAUUCCGUGACGCA
rnacentral:rRNA from 2 species